rnacentral:misc_RNA from 1 species
GUUUUUUCUUUUCAGGGAUCUUCGCCGGCGACGAGAAAUGGUCUGUUCCAAGUCCACAUCUGGGGAGACUGUCCCCUGUGAUUUCUGUAACGACCAGGUUGCAAUUCUCUACUGUAGAGCCGAUUCUGCCAAGCUAUGUUUGUUCUGCGACAAGCAUGUUCACUCUGCCAAUUUGCUCUCUCGGAAGCAUGUUCGUUCGCAGAUCUGUGAUAACUGUAGGUCCGAGCCGGUUUCGAUUCGUUGUUCCACGGAUAAUCUCGUGCUCUGUCAGGAGUGCGAUUGGGACGCUCAUGGGAGCUGUUCGGUCUCCGCUGCACACGAUCGAACUCCGAUUGAAGGCUUCACUGGCUGCCCUUCAGCGCUUGAGCUCGUUUCCUUAUGGGGUUUCGAUCUUGGAGAUAAGAAACUGGAGGAAUCCGAGAUGUUGGUGCAAAAUUGGGUUUGCUCACAGGAUUUGGUUAUGCCCAUUGAUUAUUGGGCUUCUUCUAGAGCUAGUGCGAC